rnacentral:rRNA from 1 species
UUUNAAUNCCCUUUNUAAAAGNCCCNNUGGANUGUGCUGGUAGUGGCGGACGGGUGAGUAACGCGUGAGGACAUGGCUCCAGGAGGGGGAUAACGUUUGGAAACGGACGCUAAGACCCCAUAAGCCGGAAGGUGAAAGUGGGCAACCAGCCUGGAGAGUGACUCGCGUCCUAUCAGCUAGUUGGUGGGGUGAAGGCCUACCAAGGCGAUGACGGGUAGCCGACCUGAGAGGGUGGCCGGCCACACUGGAACUGAGAUACGGUCCAGACUCCUACGGGAGGCAGCAGUGGGGAAUAUUGGGCAAUGGGCGAAAGCCUGACCCANCGACGCCGCGUGGGGGAAGAAGUCCCUCGGGAUGUAAACCCUUGUUGUACGGGACGAAGGAAGUGACGGUACCGUACGAGGAANCCCCGGCAAACUACGUGCCAGCAGCCGCGGUAAUACCGUAGGGGGCGAGCGUUGUCCGGAAUCACUGGGCGUAAAGCGCACGUAUGCGGGCUGCCAAGUCGGCCGUGAAAGGCACUGGCUCAACCGGUGCAUGUCGGUCGAUACUGGCANUCUGGAGUAUGGGAGAAGGAACUGGAAUUCCCGGUGUNGCGGUGAAAUGCGUAANAUAUUUGGGAGGAACACCAUUGUCGAAGGCGGGGUUCCUUGGCCCAUGACUGACCCUGAGGUGCGAAAAGCC